UCUGGUGGUGAUGGCGAAGAGGUCACACCCGUUCCCAUACCGAACACGGAAGUUAAGCUCUUCAGCGCCGAUGGUAGUCGGGGGUUUCCCCCUGUGAGAGUAGGACAUCGCCAGGC
rnacentral:rRNA from 1 species